UCGAAAUCGGUAGAUCGUACGGACUUAAAAUCCGUUGGCUUUUUAGACCGUGAGGGUUCAAGUCCCUCUACCCCCA
rnacentral:tRNA from 1 species